rnacentral:rRNA from 1 species
CGGGCAGGUGGUCUGUUAAGUCGUUUGUGAAAAUCCGGGGCUCAACCCCGUGAAAUGCAGACGAUACUGGCAGGCUAGAGAUCGGUAGAGGCUAGCGGAAUUCCUGGUGUAGCGGUGGAAUGCGUAGAUAUCAGGAAGAACACCCGUGGCGAAGGCGGCUAGCUGGGCCGAGUCUGACACUCAUCCGCGAAAGCGUGGGGAGCAAACA